GCAGUGGCGAGUUUCUGUGAUCCAACGGUGGUGAUACCGGAAGAUGGAGGAUCCGGUCGAGCUGCGUUGACCAACAGACUGGUAGUCAACCCCAGCAACACCGCCCACACCAGCCUGUAAGACAAGUCAUGAUUAGAACUGGUUUACAUGCAACUUGGUUACUUUAGUUCUUCUUUUCUAAAGUUCAACUGAACCGGAGAACUUUCACUGCUUCAGGGGACAGAGUGAAGCAAUACAGAGAGACGUUUAUAACUUUGAAUUAUUAAGUGGUUCAACUCGUUAUCCCGACAGGAGAAAGCAAAUUUUUUACAUUACGCAACGAAUAAAAAAUAAUAAAGUGUCAGAAAAAAAGAAAAAUUAAGCUACGAUUUCUCCAAGAGUUAAAAUGUUAUAAAAAUGAAAAGUGGAACUUGGACUGGUGGGUAACAAAUCAAAUGAGUACAUGGCUAAUAAGGAGACACGUCCUGAGUUCACGCACCAUCGGUUUACCCCACUUUCUAAUCCGAACUUACGAAAGGAAAGUGAUAAUGUUAUUCAUUUUGACCUUGUUAUCAUCAUCAACAAUUUUUAUUCUAUUCAUUCAAUUUUUAUUACAAUCUAAAAGCUGAUUCAAUUCAUCUAGAGCUAUUGAUAUCAUUGAUAAAUGAUUGAAGUUCAUUGAAAGUUUGAAUUAUUCAAAUGAUAUCAAUAAAGGAGGGCAUUCAACAGAACGAAUACCACAAGAUCUCUUAUGAACAAACAAUGAUUGCCAUUUAAGAUAAUAUUUACUCGAUUACCAUAAAAAUUUUAAACUAAAAAUAAAUCCAUCUCUUUGUUUAUCAGCCUGCAUCAAAGGUCGCGUUCCACUUAGUUGCGAUAUUGAUAGAAUAAGUUGACACAUACGUGGGUGUUAAAUGUUAAAAAAAAUUGUUUGAUCGUGAAUCGCGAUGAACGGGUUGAAAUUCAAGACCCUUUCACUUUCUUGGGUGGUUUCAAGGCAAAAUCGUGACGCGGAAUAGGUUGACUUUAACAGUUAAGUACAUACAUGUCCACUAAAAGACGAAUGUCCACAUGCAUGUACUCAGAUAUGUUGCAAGCUUUGAUAGAAAUUCUUAAAAAAGAAUCAUAAUAUUUUUACCGUUCCCUUAUAAAUUUAUGACACAAAUAAACAUAACAGGUUUAUGAUCUGUAAAGACUACAUGGUCAUAAAUACUUGCAGAAGUUUAAAACUACUGCUGUUAAGCAUCACGUAACAGAUAAUUAAACUUUCAAAUAGAUUUAUUCAAUCGAUUCAAUGCUUCCUCAAAGUUUCUAAAGCCUAUCUACUAUCUUAAACCGUCAACUCUCUUACUUGUAAUAAAAAAAACGCUGUAAGAUGUCAUGAAAAUCAAUGAGAAAUUCUAAAAGUAUCUAAAUCAAAUGUCAAUGCUUGAAGUAAAUGAGAAAAAAUGUGAUUUCGCAACGUUCUAACCCAUGUAUUAACACUGAUUUAAAGAUAAAUUAUUUACGUAACGCGUAUCAGACUUCGAUAGUAGCUACUGUUGAGUGAUUUAAAAAAAAAAAAAUAAUCAUGAUAAUAGUAAUUAAAAACAAACACAUGAGUGAACAAACAAAAGACCUCCAACAAAAUAUCAACUAUAAGAGUACCAAUUAGCUUGUUCAGCAAAUUAUCAAGAAGAUAGCAAGAAUCAAAUUAUUUUUAUUGAUUAAUUUAAACUGAUAAAUACCAACUAAUUGAAAUUUUUUAAUAAGUAACUAAAUUAUUGAAAAAAACUACUAUUUAAAAAAUUACAAUUAUUAUUUAUAAAAGCGAUAAUUCUAGAUAACCGUUGGGUAAUUUAAAUAUUGUGAGCAUGAAUUAAUUAACAUUCAAAUUAUCAUGCCGUGGAUUGCAAUAAAUAUUUAUGUAAAAUUGUUUACUGGUGGUUGUUAAGCAAUUGUUUUGCUUGAACUUAUUAUUAUGAGUGUAAUAAGUGAUUAGUGUAAUAAAUUCCUAAUGGACUAAUGAAUAUAAGAAUUGUUAGUUAAUGAUAAAAAGUGAUUGAUUAAUGUAAAAAAAAGAUAUCUCAAUGACUUACAUGAUGUUAAAGG